UACGUAGGGUGCAAGCGUUAAUCGGAAUUACUGGGCGUAAAGCGUGCGCAGGCGGUUUUGUAAGUCUGACGUGAAAUCCCCGGGCUCAACCUGGGAAUUGCGAUGGAGACUGCAAGGCUUGAAUCUGGCAGAGGGGGGUAGAAUUCCACGUGUAGCAGUGAAAUGCGUAGAGAUGUAGAGGAACACCGAUGGCGAAGGCAGCCCCCUGGGUCAAGAUUGACGCUCAUGCACGAAAGCGUGGGGAGCAAACAGG
rnacentral:rRNA from 1 species